GGAUCUGACAGUCAAUGGAUAAGAAGUGUGGCUGUCUGUCAAAUGAGGAGGUUCUGAGAGCCUGACUCAUUUAUGUUUAAAGUAAUUAUUAAGGUCUGAGGGGAAUACCAUCUCCCUAAGAAUAAAGGUGAGAAAAUACAGCAAUUCUUGGGUGAACCUCCAGACACCUGAGGCAUUCAAUCAGGUUCAUGCCUAGGCAAUAAGGGAAGAGUUCAUUCUACCCAGAAAAGUACCAGCCAG
rnacentral:lncRNA from 12 species